UACGUAGGGUGCAAGCGUUGUCCGGAAUUAUUGGGCGUAAAGAGCUCGUAGGCGGUCUGUCGCGUCUGGUGUGAAAAUCCAGGGCUUAACCCUGGACCUGCAUCGGGUACGGGCAGACUAGAGUGCGGUAGGGGAGAUCGGAAUUCCUGGUGUAGCGGUGAAAUGCGCAGAUAUCAGGAGGAACACCGGUGGCGAAGGCGGGUCUCUGGGCCGAUACUGACGCUGAGGAGCGAAAGCAUGGGUAGCGAACAGG
rnacentral:rRNA from 1 species